UAUAUAUAUAUAUAUUGUACAUUAAUUUAUAAAUAAAUACGCGCAACGAUAUAUAAACGUAUUCAUUCCGUUUAUUUUAUCGUACAAUUCUGAGUUCGUAGUAGGCAAAAAUCACUAGUCAAGAUGAAACUAACAAACUUUCUUGUGAUCUUGAUGUUAGUAAUACUGGCAGUUUGUGCACAUGCUGUUCCAAAGAGGCAUAGGUUUCCUCAGUUCCCUGGCUACGGAACAUUUAAUCUCAAAGGCAAGCUGCCUCUGCCUUUUCCAAAAAUCUAACAUCUGAAAUACGAAGGAAGGAUUUCUUAUUAAAUUGAUUUGCGAUUUGAUAAUAACAUAUUGUCUUUAGAAAACAAAUAGUAUAAUAUAACGAGAUGCUUUUAAAUAGUACUGACUUACGUACUUUAUUCACAUGUAUCUUAUAAUAUCUCAGUAAAUAGAAUAAAAAAUUCUUUAUUUAAAA